rnacentral:miRNA from 6 species
UAUGUCUGCUGACCAUCACCUU